rnacentral:rRNA from 1 species
UACGUAGGGAGCAAGCGUUAUCCGGAUUUAUUGGGUGUAAAGGGUGCGUAGACGGGUUGAUAAGUUAGUUGUGAAAUCCCUCGGCUCAACUGAGGAACUGCAACUAAAACUGUCAAUCUUGAGUGUUGGAGAGGAAAGCGGAAUUCCUAGUGUAGCGGUGAAAUGCGUAGAUAUUAGGAGGAACACCAGUGGCGAAGGCGGCUUUCUGGACAAUAACUGACGUUGAGGCACGAAAGUGUGGGGAGCAA